GGAGGAUCCAAGCGUUAUCCGGAAUCAUUGGGUUUAAAGGGUCCGUAGGCGGUCUUGUAAGUMAGUGGUGAAAGCCCAUCGCUCAACGGUGGAACGGCCAUUGAUACUGCUGGACUUGAAUUAUUAGGAAGUAACUAGAAUAUGUAGUGUAGCGGUGAAAUGCUUAGAGAUUACAUGGAAUAGCAAUUGCGAAGGCAGGUUACUACUAAUGGAUUGACGCUGAUGGACGAAAGCGUGGGUAGCGAACAGGAUUAGAUACCCUGGUAGUCCACGCCGUAAACGAUGGAUACUAGCUGUUGGAAGCAAUUUCAGUGGCUAAGCGAAAGUGAUAAGUAUCCCACCUGGGGAGUACGUUCGCAAGAAUG
rnacentral:rRNA from 1 species